AUGAGUGAAUUUCCUGAAAUAAAGUCAGGAGAUGCUGAACUUAAGAAGAGAACUAAAGAGCUCGCCAUUAGCACAGAUUCCACCUUUUUCUUCCUCUGGCUACAUGGAACUUGGAAAAGUUUCAUUUUCAUCGACAAUGAUACUGGAGUUGUUAUAUUUGGAACCACCGGUAUACUCCCAAAAUCCAAAGACACAAAGAACCAUGAAUGCAUAUUUUGUUUUAAUUUUUUUUUUCUUUCAUCUCGGUGA